rnacentral:tRNA from 1 species
GCGCCGGUGGUGUAAUGGCGUAAAGCAUUCCCGCCCGGUCAGAGGGAGGUGCGGGUUCGAGUCCCUCCCGGCGCU